UGACUCGGAUCUAUGCGAUCGCAACGCCCAAAUCUUGUCAGGACCGGAAGGUAGCAGCAAUACGGGAUGCUUGAGAUAGGCGUAGUCUCCGGGUCUCCUC
rnacentral:SRP_RNA from 1 species